ensembl:lncRNA
GGGAAACAGUUUUUGGUUUGCAAAAACUUCCAGGAUUAACAUUUCUUCUUUAUUUUGGCAGAGAAGAAAAGCUAUAGAAAAAAGACUGUUCACCAUCAAGAAUUGCACUGUGCCUGCUGUUUCAAAGGAAGUCAAUGGCUCUGCAAACCAACAGUUACCUGAAUGCUCCUUUCUAUGCAUGGUUUAGGUUCAGAUACCCAGUGAUAUUUUACUGGCCAAAUGGAUGAGUCUUAACAGGAGAAAGAUAGGUUUGAAGAUGUCUCCCUACUCAGCAUCAGUUCCCUGUGAGCCUAAACUUUCACCGAUUCCAGUCUUAAAGCCACCCACAUGUCAGAGUAGUAUACAUUGUACAUUACCCCCAUGCAGCCACUAGCCACUUGCACCAUGGUUAAAUACUGUAUCCUUCCCAGAUGCUGAAUAGGUUUUCCUUCCCACUUCAGAAUGGUGUUACACAACAGAUGUCUUGUCAGCUCCCUUUUCUUCCACUGUUCAUCACACGGCACCUUUUUUUUUUUUUUGAGACAGAGCAAAAUGAGAUAAAACUACAAGUAUGAUGUUUUUCAGGGUUAUAGGGUGGUAAAAGGAAGGUAUUUAGGAUAUAUGCUUGGAAAUUAGGAAAUCUGUGAUGAUGUUCCUAGUUUGCUGUAUGUUUCCUACCUACUUGAACAAAAUCAUGUCUACUGUGGUUCCAUGAGCAGCAGCUGAGACAACCGAACAGCUUUAGCUAUUAAAAGGGAAAGGUCUCAUUUUCCUUCUCCCCCUCAGAAGAGGUUGUUUGAGACAUUGGUUUGAUCUGAAUUCGAAUGUCACCUUGGUUCAAAGCACUUUGGGCUUGGCAUUCACGUCCCUUUAUCAGAGGAUAUUUUCCUUUUCCUUCAAAGUAGUGCUAUCCAGCUGACCGAGGAGUGGGGCUUGAUGUGGGCUCACAGUAUGCAUGGCUAUACUUGAGUCCUGGAUGGAUUUCUGCAAUCUAUACUGAAUCCUUGGAGCAGGACCACCUGGGCUAACUACCGUAAAAGUAGCUUGUAUGCACUAGCUGCAAACAAUUAUGUGAACUGUAGGGAACAUCAGAAACAAGCAGCGAUUAAGGAUGGGUGGUCUGGGUUGCACUUUCUCCCCCCAGACUGAAGACAAGCAUGCUGUUAGACACAACUGAGGUACAGUGUCACCCUGGAGCCUACACCGUGCUAGACAUCAAGGCUAGCAGAGCGGAUGUUUAAAAAAGGGAAAACCUUACCAGAACUCUUAGUAAAUAACAGUAGGGAGUGGGGAAAGACAGGCUGGCUUUCCAGUUGACUCUCACUUUUCAGGAAUCUGAGCGUACCACGACAUGGGCAAAUGCUUUAGGGAGGACUCACUGCGUUGCUGUAUGCGAAUUGCCUAAGGCACAGCUGUAGGGGUGUUUUCAAAAGCAGUGUAAUCCUGCCAUCUUGUGAUCCUUGUGGAUGUUGCAGUGUGCAGUGUGUCGCUUGUGCGACAGUCAGCAUGUAUUGAAGAGUAUUAAGUCUUUAUUUUGUGACUGUAACGAAGAGGAAAUCUAAUUUUUUUACCAGUGUAGUAGUUACACCCCAGAACAAAAACGAUCAGUAAUUUUUCUAAAAUCUCUCACGAGCAUAGAGUAGCAGUUGCAAAUUUAUGUGUAGUGAGUUUACUUGCCAUAGCCUAGAACAGCUUCCUCAAGUAACACUGUUCAUUUUCAGCCUGCGUUCUAAAAAUCCCUGUCCACUUUGAAA